rnacentral:lncRNA from 1 species
CCAUUUUGACCGGGUUGUUGUUCAGCUUCAGAGUGAACCUACGAGCCUGGAACAUGAAAAUUCAGUAACUAAAGAUGUCAAGCACAGGGUUUUUCUACAAUUCUCGGUCUAGACAAGCAAGGAGUUGCUACUAGGCAGUUGUAAAUUAUGCAAUGUAAAGACAAAGCUUUCAUAUUGUACUCCAAUUCGGAUAGACAAGCAAGG